UACAGAGGUCCCAAGCGUUGUUCGGAUUCACUGGGCGUAAAGGGUGCGUAGGUGGCGAGGUAAGUCGGAUGUGAAAGCUCGGAGCUCAACUCCGAAAUGGCAUUGGAAACUACCUUGCUCGAGGGUUGGAGGGGGACUGGAAUUCUCGGUGUAGCAGUGAAAUGCGUAGAUAUCGAGAGGAACACCAGUGGCGAAGGCGAGUCCCUGGACAACUCCGUGACACUGAGGCACGAAAGCUAGGGGAGCAAACAGG
rnacentral:rRNA from 1 species